rnacentral:rRNA from 1 species
UACGGGGGGGGCAAGCGUUGUUCGGAAUUACUGGGCGUAAAGGGCGCGUAGGCGGCCUGCUAAGUCGGAUGUGAAAUCCCUCGGCUCAACCGAGGAACUGCAUCCGAUACUGGCGGGCUUGAAUCCGGGAGAGGGAUGUGGAAUUCCAGGUGUAGCGGUGAAAUGCGUAGAUAUCAGGAGGAACACCGGUGGCGAAGGCGGGUCUCUGGGCCGAUACUGACGCUGAGGAGCGAAAGCGUGGGGAGCGAACAGG